AAUACGGGGGGAGCAAGCGUUGUUCGGAUUUACUGGGCGUAAAGGGCGCGUAGGCGGCCUCCGCAAGUCAAUUGUGAAAUCUCCGGGCUUAACUCGGAAAGGUCAACUGAUACUGCGGGGCUAGAGUGCGGAAGGGGCAACUGGAAUUCUCGGUGUAGCGGUGAAAUGCGUAGAUAUCGAGAGGAACACCUGCGGCGAAGGCGGGUUGCUGGGCCGACACUGACGCUGAGGCGCGAAAGCUAGGGGAGCGAACGGGA
rnacentral:rRNA from 1 species